rnacentral:rRNA from 1 species
UNGGAAUUACUGGGCGUAAAGCGGGCGCAGACGGUUACUUAAGCAGGAUGUGAANUCCCCGGGCUCAACCUGGGAACUGCGUUNUGAACUGGGUGACUAGAGUGUGUCAGAGGGAGGUAGAAUUCCACGUGUAGCAGUGAAAUGCGUAGAGAUGUGGAGGAAUACCGAUGGCGAAGGCAGCCUCCUGGGAUAACACUGACGUUCAUGCCCGAAAGCGUGGGUAGCAAACAGGAUUAGAUACCCUGGUAGUCCACGCCCUAAACGAUGUCGAUUAGCUGUUGGGCAGCAUGACUGCUUAGUAGCGAAGCUAACGCGUGAAAUCGACCGCCUGGGGAGUACGGUCGCAAGAUUAAAACUCAAAGGAAUUGACGGGGACCCGCACAAGCGGUGGAUGAUGUGGAUUAAUUCGAUGCAACGCGAAGAACCUUACCUGGUCUUGACAUGUACGGAACCCUCCAGAGACGGAGGGGUGCCUUCGGGAGCCGUAACACAGGUGCUGCAUGGCUGUCGUCAGCUCGUGUCGUGAGAUGUUGGGUUAAGUCCCGCAACGAGCGCAACCCUUGUCAUUAGUUGCCAUCAUUAAGUUGGGCACUCUAAUGAGACUGCCGGUGACAAGCCGGAGGAAGGUGGGGAUGACGUCAAGUCCUCAUGGCCCUUAUGACCAGGGCUUCACACGUCAUACAAUGGUCGGUACAGAGGGUAGCCAAGCCGCGAGGUGGAGCCAAUCUCACAAAACCGAUCGUAGUCCGGAUUGCACUCU